CUACCGGGGUAUCUAAUCCUGUUUGCUCCCCACGCUUUCGCACCUCAGCGUCAAUACUUGUCCAGCGAGUCGCCUUCGCCACUGGUGUUCUUCCGAAUAUCUACGAAUUUCACCUCUACACUCGGAAUUCCACUCGCCUCUCCAAGAUUCUAGCCAUCCAGUUUCAAAGGCAGUUCCGGAGUUAAGCUCCGGGAUUUCACCUCUGACUUAAAAAGCCGCCUACGUGCGCUUUACGCCCAGUAAUUCCGAACAACGCUAGCUCCCUCCGUAUUACCGCGGCUGCUGGCAC
rnacentral:rRNA from 1 species